AAAAUUACACAAAAAGAAGAAACAAAUUGUUAAUUAUCACCACCAGAUAUAGGUACCCUUGGAUAUAGGUAUAAAUACCACAUGAGAAUAUUCACGUCUGCCAAAAGAUUGGAAUGUGUUCACAUUUCAUUUCAAUGGUAAAAACUCUUCACUGAACAGAUCAGUUGGAGGUGAUUUGUUUAACAUAACCUGGACAGUAGCUGCAAUUAGUUCCUGAAAGUUCCUAAUCAUUUAGUAGUGGUAAGUGUUAUUUUAGUUUGUUGUUAUUAUAUCUGUAAUAAACAUGUUUUGUUGCACUAUGAUUUUUGCCUUUGUCUCAAUAGCAGCUAACUUUUUGUAUAUAUUGUACAUGUACAUGCAUUUAGUCGUCAAAUCAUCAAACCAACAAUGUAAGAUCUGUAAAUUUGCUUUCACAAAUUUUUUGUUCUUCCCAUGCCGGGAUUCUAAUCCAUGCUACUGAGAUAUUGUGACACCAAAUCUGUACAAUUUUUAAACACCAGAGAAGAGCAGAUGAUUUAAACACUUUUGUGUAAUCCAGC
rnacentral:lncRNA from 1 species